rnacentral:rRNA from 1 species
AGAGUUUGAUCCUGGCUCAGAACGAACGCUGGCGGCAGGCUUAACACAUGCAAGUCGAGCGCCUCGCAAGAGGAGCGGCAGACGGGUGAGUAACACGUGGGAAUCUACCCAUCCUUACGGAACAACUCCGGGAAACUGGAGCUAAUACCGUAUACGCCCUUCGGGGGAAAGAUUUAUCGAGGAUGGAUGAGCCCGCGUUGGAUUAGCUAGUUGGUGGGGUAAAGGCCUACCAAGGCGACGAUCCAUAGCUGGUCUGAGAGGAUGAUCGGCCACAUUGGGACUGAGACACGGCCCAAACUCCUACGGGAGGCAGCAGUGGGGAAUAUUGGACAAUGGGCGCAAGCCUGAUCCAGCCAUGCCGCGUGAGUGAUGAAGGCCCUAGGGUUGUAAAGCUCUUUCU